GGGAGCCCGGUGACGGGAGACUGUCACGCCGGGUUCUGAGAGCAGCGGCGGGUGAGAUUCCCGCCGCUGACUCACC
rnacentral:ncRNA from 1 species